rnacentral:lncRNA from 1 species
UGUUGGUAGUUCUGCAACUUCUUCCAUGUUCUUUGAAGACGGAAUUCGUUUAUUCAUUUCGGUAACUGACACUAGAAAUAACGUAUUAUUUUGUUUGCUCGCAGAUGUUUUUACGUUAUUUAUAAAUUCUUUGUUCUUUUCAAUUUCAACUCUUCGUUUGUUUAUCUCCUGUUCAAUUCUUUGAGUCUCCUUUGACUUAUUUUCAUCAAUCUCUUUCAAAUAUCCAUCCGAAAUACUAUUGAUGACAUCUUUGAG